CAAUAGCGUAUAUUAAAGUUGUUGCAGUUAGAACGCUCGUAGUCGGAUUUCGGGGCGGGCCGACCGGUCUGCCGAUGGGUACGCACUGGUCGGCGCGUCCUUCCUUCCGGAGACCGUGCCUACUCUUAACUGAGCGGGGGCGGGAGACGGAUCGUUUACUUUGAAAAAAUCAGAGUGUUUCAAGCAGGCAGCUCGCUCUUGCAUGGAUUAGCAUGGGAUAAUGAAAUAGGACUUUGGUGCUAUUUUGUUGGUUUCGAACACCGAAGUAAUGAUUAAAAGGGACAGUCAGGGGCACUCGUAUUCCGUCGAGAGAGGUGAAAUUCUCAGACCAGCGGAAGACGAACUACUGCGAAAGCAUUUGCCAGGGAUGUUUUCACUG
rnacentral:rRNA from 1 species